rnacentral:tRNA from 2 species
GGGCGCGUGGCUCAGUGGUAGAGCGCCUUCCUGAUAAGAAGGAGGUCCUUGGUUCGAUCCCAAGCGCGCCCACCA